rnacentral:rRNA from 1 species
UGCCAGCANHMGCGGUUAAACUUAUGUGUCAGGCUAAGACUAUAUAGGUUAAAACGUUUGUUUUAAAAAUUUUUUAAGAUGUUAAAUGCUAUAAAAAUUCACCGAUCAAAACGAAAAACUAAUAAAUCUAUGGGAGAGACUAGGAUUAGAUACCCUAUUAUUCAUAGACUAAAUAAUUUAACCUAAUGACUAAAAGUGUAUGCUUCAAAGUUAAAGAAUAUGGCUAACUUUUAAACAUUGGGGGAAUCUGUUAAUGAAAUCAAUAAUCCAUGUUUAUUUUUACCUAAGUUAAUAAAUUUGUUUAUUGUCGUUAAUUCUGGUUAUAAUAAGAAAUAAACUCAGUAAUACUUUUAUAAAGUAAUAAAUCAGAUAAUCAUGCAAAAUACUCAGGAUUUAAUAGAUUACAUUGUAUAAAAAUAGAAGAAAUUUUAUUAUAAAUAGAACUCAAAAGUAAUAAAAUUUUAAAAAGAUUUUAUGAAUAGUUAAUAUUAUUAGUACAAACCGCCCGUCGGCCUUUCUUAACAGAAAGAWAAGUCGUAACACAGUA